UACGUAGGGUGCAAGCGUUGUCCGGAAUUAUUGGGCGUAAAGAGCUCGUAGGCGGUUUGUCGCGUCUGCUGUGAAAACCCGAGGCUCAACCUCGGGCCUGCAGUGGGUACGGGCAGACUAGAGUGCGGUAGGGGAGAUUGGAAUUCCUGGUGUAGCGGUGAAAUGCGCAGAUAUCAGGAGGAACACCGAUGGCGAAGGCAGGUCUCUGGGCCGAUACUGACGCUGAGGAGCGAAAGCGUGGGGAGCGAACAGG
rnacentral:rRNA from 1 species